AAAGUUUAAAAAAAUUGUUUCUAAAUACCAAAAAAGCCUCCUCGAGACUGUAAUGUAAAACAACAGCUUUCAUUCAUCUUACUGUUUUCUUACAGGCGGUAUCUGCAAUCUUAGUACAAAAAUAAGGAGAACACAAUUUUAACCUUUUGGGCGAUAAAUUACGAUUUAAUCAGGAAAAACAGCUUAAGGUGGUACCUAACACUACAGGGAGAUAACUCUGUAAAGUCAGCUAAACGUUUUAAUUACGUUGUGUUGUAAAAGGAAUAUUAAGCUUCUCAAUGAUCAAAAUUGGUGGUUGUCAAAUUGCUAUAUAACCAGUGUAAUUUUUCUGACAAAACGGUUGGUUCAAAAUUUUUUUAAUUUUUAUAUUUUUGUUAAAGUGUCAAAGUAAAUACUUUAACAAAAUUUUAUGAAAAUUAAACGAGCCAAAUUAAUUUUAGUGAAAGUGUUGGGUACCACCUUAAUUUGAAAGUUUCUGCCUCAUUGUUCUGGAAUCCAGCCAGUUUUUACUUUCAAUUACACCCUACUGUAGACAAAAUUAAACAUUUCCGAUAGUUGAAGGACAAGAAGGGGCACUUAUAUAUCUUGCUUGAG
rnacentral:lncRNA from 1 species